rnacentral:rRNA from 1 species
GACGAGGGGUCCAAGCGUUGUUCGGAAUCAUUGGGCGUAAAGCGGGUGUAGGCGGCUCUAUAAGUCAGAAGUGAAAGCCCCGAGCUUAACUUGGGAAGUGCUUUUGAUACUGCAGAGCUUGAAUGUGGGAGAGGGUAGUGGAAUUCCAGGUGUAGUGGUAAAAUACGUAGAUAUCUGGAGGAACACCGGUGGCGAAGGCGGCUACCUGGCCCAACAUUGACGCUGAGACCCGAAAGCAUGGGGAUCAAACAGG